rnacentral:rRNA from 1 species
GUUUGAUCAUGGCUCAGAAUCAACGCUGGCGGCGUGCCUAACACAUGCAAGUCAGGGAGAAAGGGGUAGCAAUAUCCCGAGUAAACCGGCGCAAGGGUGAGUAACGCGUAGGUAAUCUGCCCUUAGGACGGGAAUAACUUCGAGAAAUCGAGGAUAAUACCCGAUGAAAUCUCGAUGCGGCAUCGUAUUGAGAUCAAAGGUCCGCAAGGACGCCCAAGGAUGAACCUGCGUCCCAUUAGGUAGUUGGCGGGGUAAUGGCCCACCAAGCCGACGAUGGGUAGCUGGUCUGAGAGGACGAUCAGCCACACUGGAACUGAGACACGGUCCAGACUCCUACGGGAGGCAGCAGUGAGGAAUAUUGCGCAAUGCCCGAAAGGGUGACGCAGCGACGCCGCGUGGAGGAUGAAGGCCCUAUGGGUCGUAAACUCCUUUUGUGAGGGAAGAACAGGUUGCUACAGGCAGCCGUGACGGUACCUCAAGAAAAAGCAUCGGCUAACUACGUGCCAGCAGCCGCGGUAAUACGUAGGAUGCGAGCGUUGUCCGGAUUCACUGGGUGUAAAGGGAGCGCAGGCGGGUCAGCAAGUCAUUGGUGAAAUUCUCGGGCAUAACCCGGGGACUGCCAUUGAUACUACUGAUCUUGAGUAUGGAAGAGGUUGGUGGAAUUCAUGGUGUAGCGGUGAAAUGCGUAGAUAUCAUGAAGAACACCGAUGGCGAAGGCAGCCAACUGGUCCAUUACUGACGCUCAUGCUCGAAAGCGUGGGGAUCAAACAGGAUUAGAUACCCUGGUAGUCCACGCCCUAAACGAUGGAUACUCGAUGUCGGCCCGCAAGGGUCGGUGUCCAAGCUAACGCAUUAAGUAUCCCACCUGGGGAGUACGAUC